rnacentral:lncRNA from 1 species
CGGAGUAUACCCCAAUCCAAACUUGUCUUCUUUGAUGAUUGGCUCCACAAAUUUGCCCCAGCCUUGGGCAUUACCAGCCUUAACCACUUCAACAACUUGCUUGUAUGAAGAGAUAGAAGUCCCGACCUUCUCAGACUCAGGUGAAAAGACAGUUUCGAGCACGACCUCACUGAUGUUUAUAGUUUCGAAGCCCUGACACAGCAUCUCAUGCAUCUCGCCAUCCAUCAACACAUACUUAAAUGUAGACAUGUGGCUAAC